rnacentral:lncRNA from 1 species
AAUCUCGUCAGGUCUUUAAGAGCGCACUCCUACUGCUGUUGCAGCCCUUUAUCUGACCCCAGACACCUCAUAUCCUGAAACGUCUCUCUCUUGUCUCCUGCCUUUCUGCUGGGAAGUACUAGAGCCUCCGUUCCAUAUCUGGGCCAGAAUCUCUUCUGUUCAGUGAUGGCCACACAAAGACAAUACUGUUCCAGGCUCCAGCUUCCUCCAAGGCCUACCCAGAAUGCCAGAUGGGGAUCUGAAUCAACCUCUCUUGGCGACAUAAAGAUCUUUAGUCAUCUCAAGACUACAACCUUAUAACCAGACCCAAGACCUGGCUGUGCUGUGAGGACCGCCUUAACCCCUGCCCCCUUCCCUCUGAGAGCUGCCUUAAGUUCUCUGGAACUCUUCCUCUGUAAGGGACUGACUGACCUGGAGAGGAGAUCUUGCCGUGUUUCUCAAGGUUUUGUGAGGGUUUUGGUUGGGUGUGGCCUCCAACCGCUAAUUCCUUUCUUCCCAUCCUGCAUGACUCUCCCCUCCUGUUACUUCGCCUUCCUUUUCUUUUCUGUUAUUUGCAAACAGGGGUUGGAACUCAGGCAGCACCAGGCUCAGAGCCAGUGAAUGUGAGCUGAGACAGUGUUUCUGAGUUUGGGGGGCUUGGUGUCACAAGUAAGCAAAUGAACAUAUGCAGGAAAGAGAUCAGUUCACUUCUUGGUAAUGCUUAACGUGCUUGUUUCCCCUGAUCUUUUCUUCAUAUAGGUAAAGGGUACAAUUGUAAAACCUUCCAUCGACAUGGUUUAAAAAAAAUUUUUUUAAGAACCCUGUAGUAUAUAUAAAAGUUGGGAUGAUAAUAGGGAAGAGUGCUGUAAAUUCUAAUCCAAUCAUAUUACCGCACGUUAAAUCACCCUGGAGUUACAGUAGAUUUCUCAAUAGAUCCAGAACCAAAAAGUAAUCUGUAAGAUACCUGCCAAAAUGCAUUUUAUACAUUUUUUAAUUUUGUAAUUUGGUCUAGCGAAAAUGUUCAUUAGCUUAACUUAAUGAGUGUCAGCUUCCUACAGUGACUGAAAAUGAUUAACAUUUCCUUAGUAUUGUGAUAUAGCUUGAAAUAUUUGAAAGAAAAAUGUUUCUGGAGUGGACACUGGUAUGUAUAAUUUAAUGCUUUGUAGGUCAGUACAUUUUCACUCAUUUUUCAGUCAAUAGUUUCAAAUACCUUAUUGUUACCACAUGUUAUAAAACUUUAACCUAUAUUUCAGGCUUUCUAAAUCAUUUGAGUCAUUUAAUAUUUUCCAACAAAUGGUGAAUUUUCCCUUUAAAUGUGGAUAUGUAUGUUGUAAUUUAUGAUUCAUAGUUAGGUAUUUUUUGUGGACUCUGGGAGUAAUGUUCACUUUUUUGUGUCCUUGGAAAAAUUUAAAUUGCUCUAACAAUGUUACACCAGAAUGAACUCAUAACAUUUAACAUACUGUAUUUUAAUUAUUAACUUUAAUUAUUAAUUUACUGUGAAGCGGAUAUGCCUUUUAACUACAAUGAAAUUGAACGUUGCAGUUUUUCAGAUAUUUUCCCUAUUGGGUCUGGAAAAGGAAUUCUGUUUUGAUCCACAUAGAAAAACAUGAUAUGGUUAAUCUUUGCGAAGUUCUUAGGUAAAAUACUCAUCCAUUAGAAAGGAAGCAGAAAUACUAAGAAGUGAAAGGCACUGUCAACCACCUCUGAUUUUAAACUGAAACCACCCCAGCAUAUCCUACAUGGAAUUUUAAAAAAUAAGUUAAUAAUUCACCUCAUAUCAACAAAGGCCUUUGAAACAUGGGUUUUCACUAGCUAUCACUUAGUCCUAAGAUGAAAACCAAAACAAUAUCAGACUGACAUUUACGCUCUAAGUUUGUAGUUGUCUAAUGUUGUCCUUAGUAAAUGUGCGCCAUUAAUGCUGUAUUCUUCUAGCUAUUAUAGAGAAUUGUUCGAAUAAAGAUAUGGAAAUAAAGAACUUUUGUUAGUGUGUUAUCAAUAAACUCGCAGCACGUGGAACAUGAGACACACAAUGUAGAGCACAUUCUGGGCUGCAAAACACACUUUUAACAUUUAGGAGGAUAGAAAUCAUAAAAUGUCUGCACUCCGAUGAUAUUAGAAUCAAACUAGGUAUUAUUGAUGGGAAAAUAGCUGGAAAAUCCCUAACUAUUUGAUGAUUAAACAAUACACUUCUAACACAUGGAUCAAAUCUCUAGAGAAUUUUAAAAACAUUUGAACUAAAUGAAAAUGAAAAUAUAGCAUCAAAAUUUGUCCAGUGCAGUGAAAGCAGUGGUUAGUGGGAAAUUUAAAGCAUUGAAUGCAUGCAUUAGAAAAGAAGAAAUACCCAUAAUCAAUCAUUAAAGCUUCUACUUUAGGAAGCUUAAAAAAAACAAGAAAAGACUAAAUGCAAAGUAAGCAGAAGAGAAGAAAUAAUAUAAAUCAGCAGAAAUCAAAGACAUUGAGGACAGAAAAUCAAUGAAACCAAAAGCUGGUUCCUUAAAAAGGUCAAUAAAAUUGAGAAACCUCUAGCCAGGCUAACUAAUUAGAAGAGAGAGAUGACAUACAG